GCACAAGUGACACUGGAAAGGCUUAAACCCUAAAAGAUCCUUCUUGCUUUUUAACAUGGACCACAUAACUAAUAUAAACUCUGAUAUUGAUACCUCAAAAUGGAAUAACUAGCCAGAGAAGAAGUGUUUGUCAUGCUUUGUUUUCCACAUUUAGACAGACAUAUAUCCUUCAGAAAGAGGAAUAUUUGAAGAGAAUAAGCUAUAAAGUGUCGUAAAAGGUUUGAGAACAGCUCCCUCUUUUUCCAAGAAUUCA
rnacentral:misc_RNA from 1 species